GAUCUCACCGGGCAUUGGACACACCAUGAUUAGGCAGAGUGAGGCUCAUUUCUUGCACUCUGAGUGUGCUGAGCCCUGCAGUUUCCCCAAAUGCAGGAAACUCAACUGCAUGACUUGUGGUAGCAGGGGACUGCGCUUUUUCUUC
rnacentral:snRNA from 1 species